GGACCAAAUGGGAAAAUCUGCACGGAAUCAUGAUCCCAGCCCAGAGAGCUCCCAGGCCAAGGUGCAAUUGCAACCCACCCGGUCCUUUAACCCGAUGAGCCAGGAGGGGAUUGAACCUGUGUCCCAGCACUCCAGAGAUGCCGCUGAUCCUGUUGCACCAUAGGGGAAACUCCAAAAGGUAACUCCUUUUAUGUUUAGGCAACUCGGAGAUUCUUUCUCGUUGAAGAAACGGGCCUCCCAAACCUUCCACCGGAUGAGGCACAAUCUUGUUCGACAGUCCCACUCGCGUGACAGCCUUUCACACAUGUGAACGUAGUUUCAUAUCCCCCCAGGUCCUCAUUUUUCUCAUCUAGACUAAGCCCCCUGAGCUCCUUCCUUGGCUCAGGCUCUGAUACCAUCUCCAUAGGAGAUGUCUUUCCUUCAUUCGCUCAUUCAUUCAUCUAAACUUUACUAAUGACUCCCUAUGUAAUGGUACAUUGCCAGGCCCUAGGAAUCCAGAAACAAAGGCAUAGUUCCUCCCUUCAAAAAUCAAAGGGUUGGCAUUUCUGCCAUGGUGCAAUGGGUUAAGAAUCCGACUGCAGGGGCUCUGGUUGCUGUGAAGGUGCAGGUACAAGCCCCUGCCUGGCACAGUGGGUUAAAGGAUCUAGUGUUGCUGUCGCUGCAGCUGCGACAUAAGUUGCAGCUAUGGCUGGGAGUCGGUCCCUGGCCUGGAACUUCCAUAUGAUGUAUGUGUGGCCAUAAAAAAGAGAGAGAGAGAGAGAGGGAGAGAGAGGGAAAAGAAACACAGGGUCCACCGGGGGAAGGAGGCAUUUAAAGAAAAAAUUGGCAUAUUCUGAGUGGCCAGCGCUAUAACAAGAAGGCACAGGACACCAGGCCCACUCAGUCCUAUGACUGAAUUUUAUUCUGGCCACUCUAGAGUGUUGAGUUGGUCCAUGUUCUUCUUACGUAAUGACCGCCAGAACUAGAAAAACUAAAGAGUAGAAAAACUAAAAAGGAUACCUACACCACUCUGACAUAAAUGUUCUAAGAAUGCAGUCCAGAACUGUGAUUAAUUUAUUUAGCACAUGGCUAACUAAAAAAAAACAAAACAAAAAACUAUGGUAUUAAUUUCAUGAAAUGCUAUUAGACUCAUCCUAUACAAAUAAAAUGAAAAAACAGGUAGAUAGAUGAUUGAUUGAUUGAUUGAUUGAUUGAUAGAAGAUAGAUAAAGCAUUUUAUAUUUAUUCAUCUUUGGUAAAUACCUUCUUAUUUUACUCUAGCAAAUCACUCAGAUACAGCCCCAGACUGUAGGAAGCAGGGUUAGAUUUCCAGUUCUGCUGCUUCUAGCUGCAGGGCCUACCUCUUAGGUCUGUUCGGGGGAUUCAAAGGAAUAAUGAAUGGCAUUAUCUGGCAUAUCACCAGCCCCAUAGUUGGUGCUCAAUAAAUACUAGUAAUAUUUAUGCUCACUGGUUUGUCAAAAAUUUUUUCAACUUUGUGUCUGACACCCGGUGUAUAAGGCUGCCCUCAGCUUCAUGCCAACUGCAAACCUGACAAUAUUUACUGAUUUUCAUUUUUCUUUUUUUUCUUUUUAGGGCCACAUCCCAAGGCACAUGGAAGUUCCCAGGCCAGGGCUCAGAUGGGAGCUAUAGCUGCCAGCCUAUGCCACAGCCACAGAAUCCAAGCCACAUCUGUGACCUCCACCACAGCUUGAGGCAAGGCCAGUCCCUUAACCCACUGAGCAAGGCCAGGGAUCAAACCCGCAUCCUCAUAGAUACUAAUCCUGUUUCCUGGUUUUCAAUAAUCCCUCCACUCCCGACUCCAUUCCUCAGGCGCAUCUCUUUCCUCUCAGUUUCCAGCUUUUCUUGGCCCAAGCGGCAGGCUCUCAGAAGCUUGACAAACCAGCAUCGCCAUCUGGAGGACAGCAUGAGAAUCUGGGUAAGAAAACAAUUUUGUGGCGCCAGAUAAACUAACUCAGCUGUUUCGUGCUGGCGCUAACGAGGCCAGGCUCACAGGUUCAUCCCCAAAGGGGCCAAUUAGCUUUGCACCGAGAGACACUUUGGAGCACAGCCCCAGCCCCUGACCUUGGCCCCCGGUUCACACGUGUGUGACUGUUGGCUAGAAAGUGGAUUCAUCACUCCGAUCCCAUUUUGUAUAAUUUCUUAAAAACCCGAUUGUUAAGGCUGUGUGGAAACAAUGAAGAUGAAUAAGACUUGUUCCCUGUUCUUAAGGAGUCUUGAGCUGCAGCUCUGUUUCCUUGGAAGAUUUCUGAGACAUGGAUAGGAAUUAGGAGAAUAAAUGGCUCUGCAGCGUUAAAUUAGUUUGGGAAACACUGAUCUAAUCAAACUCAAGCAGGCUCUUUACAGAAGGGCUCAUUAGAGCCCUUAACAUGCUAAUAUGCACUGUUAAUCUUCCAAGAAGAAAAUAGAAGGUGCAGUGUCUCCCAGAUUUUGACCGCCCGAGGCAUUCCCUCCUCUUUUUAAAAAAGAAUAGUAACGAAGCUGCUGUCCCUGAGUAGGGCUGCUUCCACUGGAACAUCUAUUUUAAGAAGCAACUCAUCCAUGGGGAAAAGUUUAGAGUCUAUUGCUAGGUUUUUUUUUUUAAAAAAAAAAAAGACUAGGAGUUCCCUUCCUGGCUCAGCUGUUAAGAAACCCGACUAGGAUCCAUGAGGACGCAGGUUCGAUCCCUGGCCUCUCUUAUGGGUUAAGGAUCUGGUGUUGCCGUGACCUAUGGUGUAGGUUGCAGACGUGGCUCGGAUCCCAGUGUUGCUGUGGCUCUGGUGUAGGCCGGUGGCUACAGCUCCGAUUUGACCCCUAGCCUGGGAACCUCCAUAUGCCCUAGGUACAGCCCUAGAAAAGGCAGGAAAAAAAAAAAAAA
rnacentral:lncRNA from 1 species